AUUGAACGCUGGCGGCAUGCCUUACACAUGCAAGUCGAACGGUAACAGGUUAAGCUGACGAGUGGCGAACGGGUGAGUAAUACAUCUGAACGUGCCCAGACGUGGGGGAUAGCUCGGCGAAAGCCGGAUUCAUACCGCAUAAGCUCUGAGGAGUAAAGCGGGGGACCGUAAGGCCUCGCGCGUUUGGAGCGGCCGGUGGCAGAUUAGGUAGUUGGUGGGGUAAAGGCUUACCAAGCCUACGAUCUGUAGCUGGUCUGAGAGGACAAUCAGCCAAACUGGGACUGAGACGCGGCCCAGACUGCUACGGGAGGCAGCAGUGGGGAAUUUUGGACAAUGGGCGAGAGCCUGAUCCAGCAAUGCCGCGUGCAGGAUGAAGGCCUUCGGGUUGUAAACUGCUUUUGUACGGAACGAAAAGGCGCCUACUAAUACUGGGUGUUGAUGACGGUACCGUAAGAAUAAGCACCGGCUAACUACGUGCCAGCCGCCGCGGUAAUAC
rnacentral:rRNA from 1 species